rnacentral:rRNA from 1 species
UAUUAGAGGCAUUGCCUGCCCAGUGACUAAAGUUAAACGGCCGCGGUAUCCUGACCGUGCAAAGGUAGCAUAAUCACUUGUUCCUUAAUUAGGGACUAGAAUGAAUGGCUAAACGAGGGUUCAACUGUCUCUUACUUUCAAUCAGUGAAAUUGACCUUCCAGUGAAGAGGCUGGAAUACUACAAUAAGACGAGAAGACCCUAUGGAGCUUUAAUUUACUAGUUUAAUUUAUAUAAUAACAACCUAAUGGACCAAGACAAAAUAAAUAUAAACUAAAAAUUUCGGUUGGGGUGACCUCGGAGAAUARAAAAUCCUCCGAAUGAUUUUAACCUAGACCCACAAGUCAAAGUAAUAUUAAUAUCUUAUUGACCCAAUUAUUGAUCAACGGACCAAGUUACCCUAGGGAUAACAGCGCAAUCCUAUUUAAGAGUUCAUAUCGACAAUUAGGGUUUACGACCUCGAUGUUGGAUCAGGACAUCCCAAUGGUGCAGAAGCUAUUAAUGGUUCGUUUGUUCAACGAUUAAAGUCCUACGUGAUCUGAGU